CCUACGGGAGGCAGCAGUGGGGAAUCUUGCACAAUGGAGGAAACUCUGAUGCAGCGAUGCCGCGUGAGUGAAGAAGGCCUUUGGGUUGUAAAGCUCUUUUGUAGGGGAAGAUAAUGACUGUACCCUAAGAAUAAGGUCCGGCUAACUUCGCGCCAGUAGCCGCGGUAAUACGAAGGGACCUAGCGUAGUUCGGAAUUACUGGGCGUAAAGCGCGCGUAGGCCGUUGAGUUAGUUAAUUGUGAAAUCCCAAAGCUUAACUUUGGAACUGCAAUUAAAACUGCUCGACUAGAGUUUGAUAGAGGAAAGCGGAAUACAUAGUGUAGAGGUGAAAUUCGUAGAUAUUAUGUAGAACACCAGUUGCGAAGGCGGCUUUCUGGAUCAACACUGACGCUGAGGCGCGAAAGUAUGGGUAGCAAAGAGGAUUAGAUACCCUCGUAGUCCAUACCAUAAACGAUGAUUGCUAGAUGUUGGAAAUUUAUUUUCAGUAUCGCAGCUAACGCAUUAAGCAAUCCGCCUGGGGAGUACGACCGCAAGGUUAAAACUCAAAAUNAAUAGAGCGNGAGACGNGCGAGACGACACGAGGAGAG
rnacentral:rRNA from 1 species